GAUUUUCUUCGGAACUGAAGAUUUGGUGAUUGAGUGGCGGACGGGUGAGUAACGCGUGGGUAACCUGCCCUGUACAGGGGGACAACAGUCAGAAAUGACUGCUAAUACCGCAUAAGACCACAGCACCGCAUGGUGCAGGGGUAAAAACUCCGGUGGUACAGGAUGGACCCGCGUCUGAUUAGCUGGUUGGUGAGGUAACGGCUCGCCAAGGCGACGAUCAGUAGCCGGCUUGAGAGAGUGAACGGCCACAUUGGGACUGAGACACGGCCCAAACUCCUACGGGAGGCAGCAGUGGGGAAUAUUGCACAAUGGGGGGAACCCUGAUGCAGCGACGCCGCGUGAGUGAAGAAGUAUCUCGGUAUGUAAAGCUCUAUCAGCAGGGAAGAAAAUGACGGUACCUGACUAAGAAGCCCCGGCUAACUACGUGCCAGCAGCCGCGGUAAUACGUAGGGGGCAAGCGUUAUCCGGAAUUACUGGGUGUAAAGGGUGCGUAGGUGGUAUGGCAAGUCAGAAGUGAAAACCCAGGGCUUAACUCUGGGACUGCUUUUGAAACUGUCAGACUGGAGUGCAGGAGAGGUAAGCGGAAUUCCUAGUGUAGCGGUGAAAUGCGUAGAUAUUAGGAGGAACAUCAGUGGCGAAGGCGGCUUAC
rnacentral:rRNA from 1 species